ensembl:lncRNA
AUGUAGAGUCAGUGACGCCUGUGGAUGAUAGGGAAUGUAGAAUGUCAUCAGAUACCUGACUGUUGGCCCAUUGUUGGGAAGCCUUUGUGACAAAAUGCCCACAAUUUUCAGACUGUAGAUGGUCCAGAAAGCCAAAAUCAUGGCGUAGCUUAUUUUCAUAGGCUACAAUGAUGUGGCCAGAAUUAGCAGAUUAGACAGGAACAGCAACAAUAUAACUAGAAAAAUGUGUCACCAAGAGUGAAGCAUCAACAGUCACCCUGAGAGGAGGCUCUCAAUCCAGAGUGGUCAAUCUGUUAGCAGCGGGCAGGGUCAGUGCCCGAUAUGAGGCGGCCUCCUUCACCACGAGACCAGCUGGCCAACUUUUGGCAGAAGUCACAAGGGUGGCGUGUCCCGAGGAUCUUCUCUCACUCUGGCCAGUCUGUUGUGCGAAUGUGUUGCUAUGUGCCAUGACAGGCUGGGCAGUGCACCUUCCUCAGCAGCUUGAUCCCAGUCGGUCUUGUCAGAGAGUGGACCUUACCACGGGCAUGUACUUAGACAGUCCAUCAACUAUGGUUUGUUUCCUCAGUUUGUGGCACCAAAGAGGGGCGUCUUUAAUGUACUACUCUGUAGUCCUUCAAUUGGCAAGGGCCCGGGAGCUCAAAAAUGCAACACGGUUCAUCAGGUGGAGUGUUAGAGCUAUGGGAACAGCCUUUCCCGCCUUUGGUUCAGCAUGGCCGUGCUGAAGUUGAAGAGCAGUAGGUGUGAGUGGGCGUCAGGUUCUACCUUCACCAAACCACCAGCGGAUCAGGCCUGCACAUAUGGAGGAGCCUCUAAAUCCAUUUCUCUGUUAGAUUCCUGUCCUCAUCACCAAUACUGUCAAAAACUACAAAGUGCCUAGGCUGUUAUCCUACUUGCAAGAUAAUGGGGAAGACAAUUACUAUUUAUGCUGACAUAAGACACAAGCCUCCUGGGUCAGAGACAAAUGAUUUGAUUACUCACAGCAGCAGCAGGUGCCAGCGUGUCAGCAUGGUGCUUUCAGGGCAUCCCCAUACACCCUGCCCCAUCAUCAUCGUGGGGUGAUACAAAGUGUCCAUGCGAAUAUCUGCACAGUGAAUUAUGUUACAGGAGAAGAACCCUGAAUUUGAAGGAUUCACUGAUCUUAUAUUGAGCAGAGAUAAGCCUUUUCUGUGUGCAGUGGUGGAUGUCACCUCAGCCGCCAAGGAUCCUCCCUGUAAACACGCCUGUGGGAAAUGGCAUAUGUAAAGAGCAACUUCACCUCUGCAUUCAGGGCACACCCAGCAAGAACAUGCACGGGCUCCCAGGGACCACAGGGGUGCCUCUCCCGGCAUAUACUGAAUGAUUUUAAGCCUGUGAAAUAUUUUGAAGCUUGCCAUGUGACCUAGCAUGGGGUCAAUAUGAGUAAAUAAAAUUUGACGUACAAAAUAAUGUGAAAUCUUCUGCUGAUGGUUUAGGAUCUGGAUUAUACGGUCAGAGGCGGUGCACCACUGCUGCUGGGGGUUGGAGACUGUGGGGAGAAAGAUAAGAAGAAAGUCUGUGCUGCUUUGCACAAGUUGAUGUCCCCGUUUUGCAGUUGCUAUCUUGCAGAGAAACUCCUAUGUUUGCAGCAAGACCCUCUGAAAAAUGUUCCAGCACCAAGCAUCCUAAAGUUACCUUUAGCUCAUUAGCAUCUUAAAUUCUCCUCUGGGAGGGUCCUAGCAGCCAUUGUCAGAUCAUGCCAUGUUAUGCAGCAGCAUGUUUACCUGCUAAGCAUGCGCCCUGAAUAAGCAUGGUUGUUAGAAAUAAACCUGUUACCCUCUCUCCUGUAGAAAGCCUCCGUCGGCACUGAGCUCAGGGAGACACUGCUUCUGGGGGCGAUCCCUGGUGUUCUCCACGGCGUGUCAAGCAAGAAAACUUUUCUUCACCUGC